GACACUCAUGCACGAAAGCUGGGGUAGCAAACAGGAUUAGAUACCCUGGUAGUCCCAGCUGUAAACUGUGUGCACUUGGUGUUGGCGGUAUUGACCCCGCCAGUGCCGGAGUUAACGCGUUAAGUGCACCGCCUGAGGAGUACGAUCGCAAGGUUAAUACUCAAAGAAAUUGACGGGGGCCCGCACAAGCGGAGGAGCAUGUGGCUUAAUUCGAUGCAACGCGAAGAACCUUACCUGGGUUUGACAUCGGAGAGGCUUGCCUCUAGCGCGUGAAAGCGCGUUAACCAGACAGGUGCUGCAUGGCUGUCGUCAGUUCGUGCCGUGAGGUGUUGGGUUAAGUCCCGCAACGAACGCAACCCUUAUGUUUAGUUGCCACCCCCGAGCAAUCGGGGCGCACUCUAGACAGACUGCCCGUACAAGCGGGAGGAACCUCGGGAUCACGUCAAGUCCGUAUGGCCCUUACACCCAGGGCUGCACACGUGCUACAAUGGUCGGUACAGAGGGAUGCUACACCGCGAGGUUACGCAAAUCCCUAAAAGCCGGUCCCAGUUCGGAUUGCAGUCUGUAACUCGACUGCAUGAAGUUGGAUUCGCUAGUCACGGCGUAUCAGCUACACCACCCUGAAUACGUUCCCGGGCAUUGUACACACCGCCCGUCACAUCAUGAA
rnacentral:rRNA from 1 species